UACGUAGGCAGCGAGCGUUGUUCGGAGUUAUUGGGCGUAAAGAGCGUGUAGGCGGCCAGGCAGGUCCGCUGUGAAAACUCGAGGCUCAACCUCGAGAGGUCGGUGGAAACCGUCUGGCUAGAGUCCGGAAGAGGAGAGUGGAAUUCCCGGUGUAGCGGUGAAAUGCGCAGAUAUCGGGAAGAACACCCGUGGCGAAGGCGGCUCUCUGGGACGGUACUGACGCUGAGACGCGAAAGCGUGGGGAGCGAACAGG
rnacentral:rRNA from 1 species